rnacentral:rRNA from 1 species
UUAUGGUGGGCACUCUAAGGAGACUGCCGGUGACAAACCGGAGGAAGGUGGGGAUGACGUCAAGUCAUCAUGGCCCUUACGGCCUGGGCUACACACGUGCUACAAUGGUCGGUACAAAGGGUUGCCAAGCCGCGAGGUGGAGCUAAUCCCAUAAAACCGAUCGCAGUCCGGAUCGCAGUCUGCAACUCGACUGCGUGAAGUCGGAAUCGCUAGUAAUCGUGAAUCAGAAUGUCACGGUGAAUACGUUCCCGGGCCUU